rnacentral:tRNA from 1 species
GGAGUAGCUCAGUUGGAUCAGAGCAUCGGAUUGUGGCUCCGAAGGUCGAGGGUUCGAGCCCCUUCUC